rnacentral:rRNA from 1 species
GACGAACGCUGGCGGCGUGCUUAACACAUGCAAGUCGAACGGAAAGGCCCUGCUUUUGUGGGGUGCUCGAGUGGCGAACGGGUGAGUAACACGUGAGUAACCUGCCCUUGACUUUGGGAUAACUUCAGGAAAUUGGGGCUAAUACCGGAUAGGAGCUCCUGCUGCAUGGUGGGGGUUGGAAAGUUUCGGCGGUUGGGGAUGGACUCGCGGCUUAUCAGCUUGUUGGUGGGGUAGUGGCUUACCAAGGCUUUGACGGGUAGCCGGCCUGAGAGGGUGACCGGCCACAUUGGGACUGAGAUACGGCCCAGACUCCUACGGGAGGCAGCAGUGGGGAAUAUUGCACAAUGGGCGGAAGCCUGAUGCAGCAGCGCCGCGUGCGGGAUGACGGCCUUCGGGUUGUAAACCGCUUUCGCCUGUGACGAAGCGUGAGUGACGGUAAUGGGUAAAGAAGCACCGGCUAACUACGUG